rnacentral:SRP_RNA from 1 species
GCCGGGCGUGGUGUUGGGCGCCUGUAAUCCCAGCUACUGGGGAGGCUGAGGCAGGAGAAUUGCUUGAAUCCAGGAGGCAGAGGUUGCAGUGAGCUGAGAUCGGGCCACUGCACUCCAGCCUGGGUGACAGAGCAAGACUCUGUCUU